rnacentral:lncRNA from 1 species
GGUGGGGCCGGCCGGGCUCACACCGCCCCGUCUGUCGCCCGCAGCACUGGGACCAGAAGUCCGGCCGCAGCCUCCCCGCGGCCCUGCGGGCCUCCAGCCAGAGGAAGGACUUCAUGGAGCGUGCCCUGUACCAGUCCUCCCACGUGGACGAGAAUGACGUGCAGACGGUGUCGCACAAGUGCCUGGUGGUGGGCCUGGAGCAGUACGAGCAGAUGCUCAAGACCAAGAAGUACCAGGACAGCGAGGGCCUGUACUACCUCGCGGGCACCUACGAGCCCACCACGGGCAUGAUUUUCUCCACCGACGGCGUGCCCGUGCUCUGCUGAGCGCCCGCGCCCGCCUGCCACCCAGGGCCCCUCACCAUCACUGCCAUGGCUCGGGGGCCACGUGCGUCGGGUGUGUGCAUGCGAGUGUGCCCGUGGGUGCCCUGGCGCGCGCGAGUGUACAUGUGUGUGCCUGUAUGCAUGCACGUGUGUGCACACAUGUGCACACGUCCCCAGCCCCUUUCCCAACUCCUCGGUGGCCCCAGGACAGGGGCUCCCCUCCGCUGCCAGCGUGGGGCUCUGCCCGCCCCCCUCGGGGCCUCCCUCCAGCACCUUGUCGCCCUCAGCAGGCGGGCCCCCCAGCCCGGGCCGCGGCACUGGGGGUCAUUCGUGGGCCACCCGCAGUCCCCCCGGAGCUCCCCAGUCCUGCCCCCUUGGCACGGAGCCCACCCCAAGCCUCCCGCCGUGGGCCGGCCUCCUCCCUCAGGACGGCCUGGACUCGGGGGACGGAGCCCGGGAGGGGGCCCCGAGCCUCACACUACAGACAACCCCAUGGUGCUGCAGGCCUCGCCGCCGCCCAGAGGAGGCGGCCCUCGGGACCUGUACAGUUUUAUUGUACCGGCCACGAGCCCUGCCCUGUAUCAUACGCCUUUCCAGGAGGCCACUUUUUAAUUAUAUAUAUAAAGAUAAAUAUAUAUAAAUAUAUAUAAAUAUAAACUUUUUAAAACUGUGAAAAAUAGCUAUGAAAUUAUAAAAAAAAACGAACACAUUCUGACGUGCAGAAUAUUAUUUUUUAUUUCCUGUUAGAUCGUGAGUGUCUAGCACCCAGCUUCACGGGCCCCCGUCCCCAGCACACCCCGCCCGCCCAGGUGUCCUGUCCUCGCCCCCAGGAUGGAGAGAGUUAGGGAGAGCAGAGGCUGAGGGGCGAGCGAGCUGCCCCGCCGGCACUUAGCGCCCCGCGCCCAGGGCCGGGCGGCCUCAUCCAGACAAUCUUAAGGGAAGGAAAAGCCAGACUUCGGUUUUGUUUUUUGGGGGAAUUAUUGUUUUCCUUUUUUUUUUUUUAAAGUUUCUUUUGGAAUUUUGUUUGUUGGCGAAUUCUGUGUGAUCUUUUUCAUAAAAAAAAGAAAAGAAAAGAAAAAGCUAUCAUUGGAAAAG